rnacentral:rRNA from 1 species
AAGGGCUUAUGACCAGACCUUUGCCUUGCGGAUCAUCCGGUGUUCUCACCGGUGCACUCCGCUUGGUUGAGGCCAGCAUCAGUUUUGGCGGCGGGAUAAAGACUUUAGGAAUGUGACU